rnacentral:snRNA from 1 species
UACCAUACCAAGCAGCGGAAUCCACUGCUCAUCAAUGGUAGAUUCUCGGAGUGCCACGCAUCCACCGCACUACGGAGGCGGGGUACUUCGCCAGAUGUCUUCGGGUGUCUGGGCUGCUUAAUUUUUGAUUUUCUGGAAGGAUUUACUAAUCUUCCCCUU